AAUACCCACCUAAACUAACCCAAUUACAACCCAAACCCAAUCAGCCCAAUUAUCAAAACCCUAGCAGCCCACUAAGCCCAAAACAUGAAACCCUAGUCUCUGCCUCUAGCGCCGCGCCCCUAACCUCAGCCACCUACCCUCUGCUCCACCUGCUCUCUGUCACCACUACCGCAGCACGUCUCUAACCUGCAAACAAUAAAAGCAGAAACAGACAACACAAGAAAAAAAAAGAUAUUUUUCUUUUCAUUUUUCGGUUAUAAAGCCGAAACAGAUUGUAAAGUAA
rnacentral:lncRNA from 1 species